rnacentral:rRNA from 1 species
UACGAAGGGAGCUAGCGUUGUUCGGAAUCACUGGGCGUAAAGCGCACGUAGGCGGAUGUGUCAGUCAGGGGUGAAAUCCCGGAGCUCAACUUCGGAACUGCCUUUGAUACAGCACAUCUGGAGUCCGGAAGAGGUGGGUGGAAUUCCUAAUGUAGAGGUGAAAUUCGUAGAUAUUCGCAAGAACACCAGUGGCGAAGGCGGCUCACUGGCCCGAUACUGACGCUGAGGCACGAAAGCGUGGGGAGCAAACAGG